UACGUAGGGUGCGAGCGUUAAUCGGAAUUACUGGGCGUAAAGCGUGCGCAGGCGGUGAUGUAAGACAGUUGUGAAAGCCCCGGGCUCAACCUGGGAAUGGCGAUGGAUACUGGCUCGCUAGAGUGCGGUAGAGGAGAGUGGAAUUCCCCGGUGUAGCAGUGAAAUGCGUAGAGAUCGGGGAGGAACAUCAGUUGCGAAGGCGGCUCUCUGGACCAGCACUGACACUGAGGCACGAAAGCGUGGGGAGCAAACAGG
rnacentral:rRNA from 1 species